AAUAAUUGCAGUUUUACACUGUUUAUAUCUAACAUUUGACCGUUUAUCUUAUUUGAAAAUUUUGUGUGAUUACUACUUAUUAAAUGAUAAAACAUGAAUAAUAUGUGACUAUUUUUUAAAAUUUUUUAAAUAAGAUGGACGAUCAAACGUUGGACACAGAUUACCAUGGCUACACUUAUU
rfam:Oryza nivara chromosome 7, whole genome shotgun sequence.